CGUUAGCCACCACGCCCGGCCAGCUCUUUCAUUUCAAAGGCAUGAAGUGUUCUCUUUGUUAAAUAGUAAAGAACAUCUAGGAAGAGGAGAAGUUGGGCAGUAAGUGGCCAACAUGAUAGGAUUAAAUGAAACGCUAUGUGACUAGUACAUAGCUUAUACCUCAUGUAACCAACCAUAAGACUUGGACAACACCUGGACUGGUCCAUGCCCUGAUUCACCUAGACGAGGCCACUAAUCACUUGCUUGGAUAUCACAGCAAUGUUAAGUUGCCAGAAAGGAUUCUAAAUGCUUACUCUCACUUUCUUUACUUAUCUCAAGGUCAACUGGUCAUUUUGUGGACCAGCAUCAACAAUCUAUGGACCACAUUUUGAGUGGCACUAAUAUAGAUAACAUCGGUUUAGUUAAUUCAAGUAUACAAAUAACCAGUGAAGUAUAUGGCUCGCUUAUAUUCUCUCUCUCUACGAAACACACAGACACAUGCUCCUGAAUAUUUAUUCCCGAAACAUUUACUAAGAACCUACUAUAUUCUUGUUACUUUUCUAGGCUCUGAGAAUAUAGUAAUGAAUAAAGCAAAUCAAGUACCUGCUUUCAGGGAACUUAAAAUUCUAAUUCAACCAAUGUCUUAAUACCCAAACAUCUGGGUACCAGUUUGAGGCCUUGCUAAUUAAUAGCUCUCCGCUUUUGUAUAAAUUCAUUUAAUCCUUCUAAGCAAGUCUUUCUCUUUACAAAAUGAGACUAAUAAUACGUACUUUAAUGUCAUCAUUGGUAGCAUUAGAUAUUGUGAAAACUGUAAAAUCACAUACCAAUGCCAGGUCACAUUUUUAUCAUGGGCCCUUCCUGAGUGAAGGGAUGGUAUUUUUCCUGCCUUUGUAUCCUUAGCAGGAAGCAUAAGGGCUUGCUAAGUGGCAAGCUUAAAAAUAUAUUUUCUAAACAUUUAUUAGAUGGAAGCUUCUUUUUAUUGAUAUGUAUCACAAUCUUCUUAAAGUCUUCAAUUGGUCCUAGAAGUGUCUAUGCUUUUCCUGUCAGUUCUAAGAAUAAUGGUGUUCUUUAGCAUUACAACCUAGAACUGAAUUGUAAAAGUGCCCUAAGUUUGGGGAGGAAGAAAUUCUCAGCCAAUAAUAACAUGAAAAGAAAUGUACCUAGUCUGUUUCUCUUCAAACGUCUGAACUUCAUGUUAGAAAAGUUGCUUCCAGGGUAUAAAGACUUUCUUUUUGAGGGCUAGUGAUGUUACUGUUAGAGUUAGACAGGGGUAUGGAUGCUCUACAGAUUUCAUGAAAGUGCAUAACUACAUUCAGUGGCUAUUUGAAGAGUACCUUAUUUUAUAAGGUGCCCCUUAUACUGCAAGGGACAUUAGCAUAAUUAAAACACAGUGACUUGCAAGGAAUAAUAUUUAGUAAUGAGAAUAAAAUGAAUACACAAAAUGCACUAUAAAGCAGCAUAUAAGUGCCAUAGGUGUGGAAUGAAUAGGAACUAUGGGACUUCAGAGGAGGGCUCCACUUAGGAGUUGCAAUAUGAGACAGGCCUUCAAGGAUUUCAACAGAUUUUAGGUUUGAUAGAGGGAAUGGAAGGCAUUUGUUGCAGGCAGAGAGGUAACUUAAUACGUUGACUCCUUUGUAAAAAGUUAGUAGGAGUUACAGCAAGUAGUUUGAUAUACAUGUAAGGGUAUAGUGAAAGGUAAGGCUAGAAAAGUGGGAUGGAGAUACACAAUUGGGCAAGUGCCAGAUUGAGCAGUUUGUACUAAAUUUGAUGGGGAACUACUGAUAGUUUUUAAAAUAGGGUGGAGUCAUGAUCUGGACAAUGCUUCAGGAAGAUGGUUUUGGCAAGAACACAAGACGGACUGAAGGGAAGGCAACCAAGCAGGAGACCAAACAGGAGAUCACAGCAAAAGUCUCGACCUAGGUUAACCAAUACCUGACCUAGGGUCGUGGCAAUAGAGCUAGAGAGGUGGGGGCAGCUGGAAGGGCCAUUGUGUAGAAAGUAUAGUAUUUAUACCUGUGCAGUCCAAUAUAGCAGCUCCUAAUUAAGGCUCUUUAAAUGCAACUUUAAUUAAAAUUAAAUAGGAUUUAAAAUUCAGGCCAGGCGUGGUGGCUCACGCCUGUAAUCCCAGCACUUUGGGAGGCUGAGGCAGGCAGAUCAUGAGGUCAGGAGAUUGAGACCAUCCUGGCCAACAUGGUGAAACCCCGCCUCUACUAAAAAUAAAAAAAUUAGCUGGCCGUGGUGGCCUGUGCCUGUAGUCCCAGCUACUCGGGAGGCUGAAGCAGGAGAAUCGCUUGAACCUGGGAGGUGGAGGUUGCAGUGAGCCAAGACCGUGCCACUGCACUCCAGCCUGGUGACAGAGUGAGACUCUGUCUCAAAAAAAAAAAAAAAAAAAAAAUUUACUUCCUCAGUUGCAUUAGCUGCAUUUAAAGUGCUCAAUAGCCAUAUGUAACUCCUGUUUUGGACUAUGCAGAUAAAGAACAUUUCCAUCACAGUGCAAUGUUUAUUGAACAGUGCAGCUCACUAUGCUUUAGGGACUAAUUAGGCAUAGAAUGAGGAAGAUGGAUUAAAGGAGGCUUCGGUUUGGCAGCUGAGUGACUGAGAAAGGUGUUUAGUUUCUGUCAAAUACUAGGCCAGAUAAAGUGUCUACCCAAAUCAUCAGAUAUCCCUGGUGAAAGGAAAGGGCAGGGAAAGCAAAGUGCCCAUUGGGUUCUCCCAAAGCUUGUAAAGGAGCCCUGGGAGGAUUUAAUUGGUUUAUCUCCUCCUGCACUCAGUUUCUCCUGUUUGUGCAGCUCCCUGAAGAUUAUGAGUGGGCAAUCCAGUUCCUCAACCUCUCCAAACCAAUGGUUCACAUAUACCGUGAUGAGGACAGAAGCCCAAGGGCUUUGCUGUUUCCUUAGCUCCUUGGAGCCAGCUUGAACCUUUUUCUCACAGAUGCUUUGUGCUUCCUGUCCCCUAACCGCCUUACUCACCCUUCCCCAUGCUCAACUUUUGGAAAGUCCCCUUGGCCUCACUUGUUUGAUUACUUCCUCUCAAACUACUUCUCACAGGGACCACAGCAAACCAUUGACUCUACCACUUUUUACUUGCCCUGUCUUCCCUCCCAGCUUAAAUUCCAAGGUCUAUCACUAUAAUCACUCCCUUACAUAAUACUCCUACCCCUCUCAUAGGCUUUCCCCAGCAAAACUCAGACCUGGUCAAAUACAAUUCUCCUCCAACCCCCAAGCAAUGGAGUGUGGCUGGAGGAGAAUCACACGGCCUUGCUGAGUGGUCUCACUUUAAUGUAUGAUCAUCAACUCAAGAGGGCCCUCAGCACUGUCCAUGCUAAGCUUCUCUAGUCACUUUUCCACUCUUCAAGGAGAUUAUUUCUCACCUUCUUCUAUCUCCUUUAAUAGCCAACAGCUUUUCAUUGCAUAGAGAACAGAUCUUACCUCAUCAAUCCCAGUGAGGCAGCCAGUACAUAUGGCACUCAGUGGAAACUGGGAAAAGGUCCAUACGUGUGUGUGUGGGUAUGCAUGUGUGUGUAUGCGCAUGUGUGUGUGUUUGCGCAUGUGUGUGUGUUAUAUGCAGGAUGCUAACAUGCACCACCUCUCCUGGUGGAGCAAUCAGAAAAGUACCCCUUCCUCCAGGCUGAUGUGACCCCACCAGGGCACGUGGCUUUGUGGGCAAAACAAGGGCUACAUUUCAGCUCCUACCUGCCGCCUCUGCUCUACAGGGGCCUGAGCGUGCCACAACCAAAUGUACUGUCUAAUCUAUCUGCUUCUGCACCCAGACACUCUACCUUCUCUCCAGAAACAGUGUGUGAAUGCAUUCCCUUACUCCUAUCCUAGGCCAACCCUUUCACUUCUGUGCUAGAUCCAAUUGCUUCUCACCUAUUUGAGGACACUCUUUCUCCAGUUGUCUCCUCUUGCCUUCUGUGUCAUCAAUUUUACCUCUCUUACAGAGUCUCGCUCUGUUGCCCAGGCUGGAGUGCAGUGGCGCGAUCUCGGCUCACUGCAAGUUCCGCCUUCCAGGUUCAUGCCAUUCUCCUGCCUCAGCCUCCUGAGUAGCU
rnacentral:lncRNA from 1 species